ACCUCACCCACAGACGAGUGCAUGUUUGCCAAAGAAUAAUAAGCAGCCAAGAAAAAGAGUACAUAUAAAAAAAUAAAACUAAGCUUUCCUUACAGAGGAUCCAGCAAUUGACUAAGCACAUCUGGAACUAGGAAGACCACCUCAUUUUCUUGGAAAGGCACCUUGGCCUGCAGUAUGGACUGAUAUGCUCCCCUUGCCAGGGAGUGGAAGAAUUGCAGUGCUCUGGAUGCCAUAGAAAGUCUAACUCAAGGGUCUGACCUGAGCAUUCAGAGUGUGAAUACCUGCUCUCCUGCCAUAGAAGCGUGGCUGUUCCACAAGCCAACUUCCAAAGCACAAAUCUUUUGAGUUUUAUACACGUUUGUGACGAAGCUGAUAAUAUUUGACAACUGCAACUACAUUCCUGCCUAAACAAGAUAUUUGGAGACAGGAAACUUCACGUAAAAUCUCGUUAUCCAGUGUAACUUUCCAGCAAAGAUUGCUAGUGACUAACAAGUUGGGUUAUUGAUUCUCAUAGAAUUAUUUUGACCAUCAAACACAGUCCCCAACUCUAUGCAGAAAUCCAGAUUAGUGCAUCCCUGAGAGAUGGUUUUCUUCCCUGUGUUUGAACCUAUCCAGAGAAUUAUAGGUAGCUCUGCUGCCCUGUUGCAACAAACAACAACAAAAAGGAGUCUUAUGGGCCUUUGUAGACUGACACAUUUAGGGCAUAAUGUUUAAUGGAUGUGAAUCCACUUCUUCAGUUUCAUUUGAUGAAGUGAAAGGCAACCCAUGAAAGUUUCUGUCAUGACAAGCUCAGAAUCACAGAAUUACAGAGUUGGAAGAGACCAUUUAGGCCAUCAAGUCCGAUCCCCUGCUGAGCACAAGAGUCCUAAUUACAAUUUCUCGACAGAUGGCUAUCUAUUUUCUGCUUGAAUACAUCCAAUGAAUGAGUGCCCACAACCUCUCUGGGUAACUGGUUCCACUGUUAAGAUAUUCUUAUUAUGAAUUUUAUCCCCUUAACACUCAAACAGGAUCUAUCUGUCUGCCUGGAAGGCAAUUGCAUUAUUUUGUACCUUAAAUAGGUCUCAAAUCGUUUUUUCGUUAUGACAUCCAUUAAAGGUAUAUAAAGAGUGUUA